AUUCAGGUGGCACAUUUGACAAUGAAAUACUACUUUACUUUCCUAUCUCAACAGUGGAGUGCUCUUUCUCUCUCCUCUCUUUGUUAAGCUUUUGGUCUGUCCUCAACCAAAUUGGAUGAAAUUUCAAGAUGAAAAUCAUGGCGGGAAUCAUACCAGAGUGAUUUUAGUUCAAAUCAUGUCAAAUUUCGAGUUCCCAUCUCCAUUUUUUCAGUUAGAGCUAGUGGUAGACAGGGAGGUGAUAUUGCUCCGGAUUCUUAGAGCUGCCAGCCGAUAGAGAGCCCUCCAUUGUUCCGGAGGUGCCUAUGAUGAUCUUUUUGUGUAUAAUUGUAUAUGUCAUUUCAUAGAGGCUCGUAGAUACUCGAUGUGGGUCGUAUGGUCUCAUGGCAGGGUCAUUUUGUACGUAUGUAAAUGUAUACACUAUUUUGCUAGCCUAAAGGGCUCAUGUGUUUAUAGUACUCAUGUUUCCAAAUGAAAAUGUUUUUCUUAUAAAUUAAGCAUGAAAUGGGUAAUUGAUCGGUAAUAAGCCUAAGGAGUGAUGAUACGAGUGGUGCUCGGUGGUUAGCCCUGGGUACCCGUCGCGGCCCUAGCCGGGUCGUGACACUAUUAUCACUACAGAAAUGACAAAGAUACUCAGAACUUUUCAAUUGUUGUUGAGGUACCCUUGGCUGGUUAAUUUGAUUGACCUGCAAUAUACAUAAGAAAAUAAGCCAGCUAGUACGGUUCGAUAGACACAACAUGAGAGAAACAAGAAAGGUGCAGAAGGGCCUUCCUUUUCGACUUCCUGAUGGACUUGUUGCUGUUGAACUUCAGAGUGGUUGCUUCCCAUAAGAAUAGGGCAUUUUCUGCUAUUAUGCCCUGAUCUUCCACAUGAUCCGCACUUUUUUUCUUGCCUUUUCUUGAUGUUUUUAACAAGCAGGUGCAAUGAGUUGUUUUAUGUGCCCUACGAGGAGUUGCUAAAUUGUGUUCUCACACAAGCGGGGAGACAACUAAAGAGAAAAAUUGUUCAUCAACCAACAAACACACAAAGUUACUCAAUCAUCCAUGGAUUAGACGAUUAAUUCAAUCCAAAUGGAAGAAGGGAGAAGGGUUGAGAUAUGCUUAUGUAUGUGGGAUUGAUGGUAUGACGAUAUGUAAACGUGUUAGUAUGUUUAGGUUUUUUUGUUUGUAUAAAAGUGUUCCUUGUUGUAA